rnacentral:misc_RNA from 1 species
CCUUUUGGACUCUCUAUGAUUGGCAUGGACUGGGGGGCGACUUCAGCAUCUUAAUCAUAGACAGUUUAACGAGACAAGUAGAGGAGUAGUAGAGACGUAGAUAAACAAGAACGUAGGUAUGGGGGGUAAAAGCGAGGAGGCUGCAGCCAGAGUUGGACCUUGGCCGAAAUCCUCAAAGUUGCAAGUUGGAAGGAUGGACUGGGGGAGACAAGGGCUUUCUAGCAGGGCGGUUGAGGACCUGGACAGGCCCCCUUUGGAGAGAGUGAGGUCUCAGAGGGUGCAAGAGGAAGGGGUGAGGCUGGAGGGUGAAUGUGAAGUCAGAGUUGAGAGCUGGCAGACCUCGGUCUGUACUGGUGAGCAUACUAGGUGCUGCAAAGGCCAAGUAUGAGCACUGGUUAGCCGAGUCUGCCUGCUGUCUUGCGUGUCGUUCCAGGAGCGACAGGCUUAUAGGCGCUGUUCAGACAUACUGUCAUCUACGGCCAUAGGAUCCAGAAAAUACCGCAUCCCGUCCGAUCUGCGAAGUCAAGCU